GAAUACAUAGACAGAAUGGACUAUUACAUCGAAAGUAAAGAUUUGUGGAUCGGAAUAAAAAUGGGAGGGAGUAAUGGAAGCCUCACUCUUAACCUAGUUCAAGAAAAUGCACCGAGGAUAUCAAUAACAAGAAACACGUUUAAUCCAG